rnacentral:rRNA from 1 species
ACUCCUACGGGAGGCAGCAGUGGGGAAUAUUGCACAAUGGGCGCAAGCCUGAUGCAGCCAUGCCGCGUGUAUGAAGAAGGCCUUCGGGUUGUAAAGUACUUUCAGCAGUGAGGAAGGUGGGUAUGUUAAUAGCAUAUUCUAUUUGUACGUUAGCUGCAGAAGAAGCACCGGCUAACUCCGUGCCAGCAGCCGCGGUAAUACGGAGGGUGCGAGCGUUAAUCGGAAUUACGUGGGCGUAAAGCGCAUGCAGGUUGGUUGUUAAGUCAGAUGUGAAACGCCCGGGCUCAACCUCGGAAUUGCAUUUGAAACUGGCAAACUAGAGUACUGUAGAGGGGUAGAAUUUCAGGUGUAGCGUGAAAUGCGUAGAGAUCGUGAAGGAAUACCGGUGGCGAAGGCGGCCCCUGGACAGAUACUGACACUCAGAUGCGAAAGCGUGGGAGCAAACAGGAUUAGAUACCCCGUGGUAGCGACUGA